GCGCCGCUAGCGCAACGGACAGCGCGCCCAGCUUCUAACUGGGGACAGUCGGGGUUCGACUCCUCGGCGGCGUA
rnacentral:tRNA from 1 species